AUUGAACGCUGGCGGCAGGCCUAACACAUGCAAGUCGAGCGGAGCGGCGGACGGGUGAGUAAUGCCUAGGAAUCUGCCUGGUAGUGGGGGAUAACGUCCGGAAACGGGCGCUAAUAUCGCAUACUAUCAGAUGAGCCUAAGUCGGAUUAGCUAGUUUGUGGGGUAAAGGCCUACCAAGGCGACGAUCCGUAACUUGUCUGAGAGGAUGAGCAGUCACAAUGGAACUGAGACACGGUCCAGAAUCCUACGGGAGGCAGAAGUGGGGAAUAUUGGACAAUGGGCGAAAGCCUGAUCCAUCCAUGCCGCGUGUGUGAAGAAGGUCUUCGGAUUGUAAAGCACUUUAAGUUGGGAGGCGUAACUAACAGAAUAAGAACCGGCGAACUUCGUGCAAGCAGCAGCGGUAAUAC
rnacentral:rRNA from 1 species